UACGGAGGGUGCAAGCGUUAUCCGGAUUCACUGGGUUUAAAGGGAGCGCAGGCGGAUUUGUAAGUCAGUGGUGAAAGGCUUAAGCUUAACUUGGGAACUGCCAUUGAUACUAUAAGUCUUGAAUGUUGUUGAGGCGGGCGGAAUGUGUCGUGUAGCGGUGAAAUGCUUAGAUAUGACACAGAACACCGAUUGCGUAGGCAGCUCGCUAAACUCUUACUGACGCUGAGGCACGAAAGCAUGGGGAUCAAACAGG
rnacentral:rRNA from 1 species